CCAGGAUGGUAGUGGAACAAGGGCCAAAGAAUGCUGUUACUAAAUCCGUUGUAAUGGCGGUCGGCAGUCUCAUCAUCCAAAAAGACGGGAAUAGCGCUACACUCAUCUUGCAAACGCUGGAUAAUCAUGGGUUUUUCAUCCUCAGGAAUCUCUUGACCGCACCAGCCCAACCAUUGAAAGGUCAUGAGCUUCUUGAGACCGCUCAAAGCACUGACCAGACCACCCGAAGACAUACUAAAGUCAUAUGUGCCAUUAUCCUUUCGCUUAAUUGUAAUUGGUAAACGAUUGGAGACGACGAUCAAACGCCGAGAGUUAGAAGCAUCACCCGUGAGUGAU